rnacentral:rRNA from 1 species
AUUGAACGCUGGCGGCAUGCUUUACACAUGCAAGUCGAACGGUAACAGGCCUUCGGGUGCUGACGAGUGGCGAACGGGUGAGUAAUGCAUCGGAACGUACCCAGAGGUGGGGGAUAACGCAGCGAAAGCUGUGCUAAUACCGCAUGUGAUCUGAGGAUGAAAGCGGGGGACCGAGCAGCAAUGUUUGGCCUCGCGCCUUUGGAGCGGCCGAUGUCGGAUUAGCUAGUUGGUGGGGUAACGGCCUACCAAGGCGACGAUCCGUAGCUGGUCUGAGAGGACGAUCAGCCACACGGGAACUGAGACACGGCCCAGACUCCUACGGGAGGCAGCAGUGGGGAAUGUUGGACAAUGGGCGCAAGCCUGAUCCAGCAAUGCCGCGUGUGGGAAGAAGGCCUUCGGGUUGUAAAGCGCUUUUGGCAGGAACGAAACGGUGUCGGCUAAUACCGGGCGCUAAUGACGGUACCUGCAGAAUAAGCACCGGCUAACUACGUG